AAAACGGCUCCGGCGGUGGGAAACGAGGGCGGAACGUACUUUCCAAGCUGAGGGAAGACAAUGAGGAACCUCUAAGUUGCCGGGGUCCAGCUUCCGGUCAGCCGGGGGUCCAGGUGGUCGGUCUCAACAACACAUUACUAUUUUAAGGCUUGGUCUGUGAAACGGCUCCGGGGUGGGAACGGUAGCCGGAAGGGUACAGUCCAAGGACAGGGCAGGAGGUGAGGAGCCUCCCUCGGCCAGAGUCUGAUUCACAGGGUCAGCCGGCGGUCGGGUCCUCUCCACGACCUCCUCCGAUAUUUAGGUGGCAAGAUGGAAUAAUGUGUUUGAAUUCAAAUACACCUUCUGAUGAAGUUUUGGGGUGAUGAUGGGGGAUUCGGAGCUGAGGGCCAAGAAAGCUUUCUUGAAGACAUCUUUGGUGCAAAAAGCACACAUAGUAAACAGAGAAGAAGAUGAGCUGUGGAAGUUAGUAGACAAUACGUGUGCUUGAAUCUUGACCCCAUCAUUUUUG